rnacentral:rRNA from 1 species
UACAGAGGUGCCGAGCGUUGGGCGGAAUCACUGGGCUUAAAGCGUGUGUAGGCGGACUUCUAAGUACCUUGUGAAAUCCCACGGCUCACCCGUGGAACUGCUGGGUAUACUGGUCGUCUUGAGCCACCUAGGGGCGAGCGGAACAAAUGGUGGAGCGGUGAAAUGCGUAGAUAUCAUUUGGAACGCCAACGGUGAAAACAGCUCGCUGGGGGUGUGCUGACGCUGAGACACGAAAGCCAGGGGAGCGAACGGG